AUUGAACGCUGGCGGCAUGCCUUACACAUGCAAGUCGAACGGUAACAGGUCUUCGGAUGCUGACGAGUGGCGAACGGGUGAGUAAUACAUCGGAACGUGCCUAGUAGUGGGGGAUAACUACUGGAAAGAGUGGCUAAUACCGAAUGAGAUCUAGGGAUGAAAGCAGUGGAGCAUGACCUUGUGCUACUAAAGCGGACGAUGGCAGAGUAGGUAGUGGGUGGGGUAAAAGCUUAACAAGCCGACGAUCUGUAGCUGGUCUGAGAGGACGAUCGGCCACAGUGGGACUGAGAAACGGCCCAGACUCCUACGGGAGGCAGCAGUGGGGAAUUUUGGACAAUGGGCGCAAGCCUGAUCCAGCAAUGCCGCGUGCAGGAUGGUGGCCUUCGGGUUGUAAACUGCUUUUGUACGGAACGAAAAGCCCCGGGUUAAUACCCUGGGGUCAUGACGGUACCGUAAGAAUAAGCACCGGCUAACUACGUGCCAGCCGCCGCCGUAA
rnacentral:rRNA from 1 species